GCAGUGGUAGAACGCCUGUCUUCCACGCAGGAGACCCAGAUUUAAUUCCUGGCCGAUGCA
rnacentral:tRNA from 1 species